rnacentral:lncRNA from 1 species
GGCAGGUACAGACACUCACGGCACCUCGGGAUCGAUGGACACGGCUCACAGGGACACCCCGGGGCAAUGGAUAGGGUUCACAGGGACUCCCCGGGGCACGUACGGACUCACAGGGCAGGUACAGACCCGCAGGGACCACGGGCACACGCGUGGGCUCGCAGGGCAGGUGCGGACACAGAGGGUUCAUGUGGGCAAACAGGGCACGUACAGACAGCACGGACAGACAGACAGGGCACAGACAGACAGGGCAUGGACAGAGACAGACAGGGUGCACACAGACACACACAGCACAGACAGACAGGGCACGGACAGACAGACAGGGUGCACAAAGACACAGACAGCACGAACACAGAGAACACACAGACACACAGCACGGACACACAGACAGGGCACACGCAGACACACGAGCACGGACAGACAGACAGGGCACAAACAGACACACACAGCACAGACAGACAGACAGGGCACACACAGACACACAGCACGGACGACAGACAGGGCACACACACAGACACAGUGUGGACAGACAGACAGGGCACAAACAGACACACAGCGCGGACAGACAGACAGGGCAUGGACAGACAGACAGGACACACAGCAUGAACAGACAGGGCGCACACAGACACAGUGCAGACAGACAGACAGGGCACGGACAGACAGACAGGGCACACACAGACACACACAGCACGGACAGACAGACAGAGCACAGACAGACAGGGCGCACACAGACACACACAGCACAGACGACAGACAGGGCACACACACAGACACACGAGCACGGACAGACAGACAGGGCACAAACAGACACACACAGCACGGACAGACAGACAGGGCAUGGACAGACAGACAGGGCACACAGACACACACAGCGUGGACAGACAGACAGGGCACACAGACACACAGCGCGGACAGACAGGGCGCGGACAGACACAGUGCAGACAGACAGACAGGGCACGGACAGACAGACAGGGCACACACAGACACACACAGCGUGGACAGACAGACAGGGCACACACCGACCGGCGGGCACGGACACACAGACAGGGCACACACGGUCGCACGGCGCCCGAGCGAGCCCACAGGGCACACAAAGACGCACCGAGCCCGUGUCAAGCCGCGGAGAAGCGAUGCCCGCGUCUCCGCUCGCCCUCGCAGGCACAGCCGGCUCUCACGGGUUUGAACCCCUCUGUGCCGGGCCAGGGGGCUCCGGGGCACGGGAAGGACGAGGCGACACCGGC